ACAGUGGUGGUUCAGUGGUAGAAUUCUCACCUUCCAUAUGAGAGACCUGGAUUUGAUUCCAGCUGGUGCU
rnacentral:tRNA from 1 species